CUCUCGCUGCCGUCGACCUUGCACCUAUAUAAGGAGCCUCCCGCCCUGCCACGACCAACCAGGCCGAGGCCCACAAGUUAGCCCUCUCUUCCCCCUAUCAGUCAGUUUUACUCUGUGCAGUGCCUUCCCCACUCCUGCCCCAUCGCCAACAGGCCUAGCUAGGUGGGACGGGUUAGGCCUCACCUUGGGUGCGAACCUUGACGGGCACACGUGCAAGACCUACUGUGUUGGUCGGCGAGCUUAGGUGGCAAAGUGAUGAGUUCAAUUUUUUUUCUACAGGUGUCUUUAGACCUUAAUCUCCUCAAUCAAAAAAUAUUAUCAGUUAUGUUUUAAUUGACUUGUGAUAUACUCGUAGAUAGUUGCAAGUCAGGUCGUCUCCACAAGGAAUUUCGAGGCUUACUAUUUAAUACUCAUUCUAAUGAAGGGAGGAGUGUAAAAGGAAAUGAGGUGAGUAUUGGAAAAGGGGAAGAAGAAGGAACUAGGAAUCCAAAUCAGAUUUCUCAUAUUUGGCCGACGUAAGAACAGUACUCAAUUGUUUAUUGAUUCUACUCCUAAAUAUCGAACUAAAAUCUAAUCUAAGCUAAAUAGAACACUUCUCCAUCUCGAAGCUAACCUGGUGUCACCACUUCUUCUUCUUUACUUCCGUCAGGAAGAGGCGUUCACUCGAAGCAGCAGGAGAGACCUCAUUCAGGCAAGAUGAAAAGUGCUCCGGCUUGACACACCUACAUUUGCACAAUGUGGAGCUCGAGAAACCCUAAACCCUCUGGGCUGACUAAAACGCCGAAGGCUUCCUCAUUCCCAAAAAGCUGUUCGUAACAUCCAUUUUUUCACAUGUAUAAGGCAGUCUUUCCCUCUCCUCUCUCGCUCUCCUCUCGCACUCUCCUCUUGCGUGCACACGAGAAGCUGCCCGAAGGUUCUGGUGGCUUCUUUCCUAUGAGGCCACACUUCGUUGGAUCGGUGGACUCUCUUCUCGUGAGCUCUCUCUUAAGCCGUCGAAUUUGAAGGGCAGUCUCCUCACUCCAACGAGUGGCGGUUGGGUGUUGUAUCAUAGCCGUUGAUGAAAUGGCUAUGUCCUUCAACAAUAAUGCCUAACUUGCCAAAAAUUGCUUAGAAAAAUCAUAAAAGCAUAUUCAAUGUCUAAAAUAAUCUGAUUAAUCAUGCACCCAAAUCUGUAAGAGGAGAUUGAUCUCAUAAAAUUUCUAAAAAACAUUUGAAUUAUGACUGUCCCAAAACAUGUUAAAAAUCAUCUUUAUUCCUAAAAAUAACACCUCAAUAAUAUCAUGGAGAUGUAAAAUUAACCAAGUUACGGUGUUUUCUAGCACAUUAUUCAUGUACUAUCACACCCCCCAACUUCUCUCAUUGCUAGUCCCUUAACAAUGGAUUAAGAAUGAUUGUGUUGCUAUGAUUUUGUUUCAUUCAUCUUUGUCAUUAUCUGCAUAAUCAUGAAUCUGCAUUUCACAAAAUUCAAAGAAAAACUAACUCAUUUCAUAGUUAGACAUCUAUAAUUCUUCAUUAGACAGAGAUUAGAACCUCCAUGCUUCCAUUUCUCACUAGUUUACUUUGUCUCAAGACUAGCUUUUGUUUUGUGAAUCCUUGUCAUGCUUGGCUGUUAUGCACAAAAAUUUGACUUGUAGCUCUUCUAAAUCUUUUUAUCCCAUGUAGGUAGCUUUUCCAUAGACAGCUUUUUUUUCUUUUUGUCCUAGUCUCACAUGUGGGAUCUCCACGGGACAAUUGGGAAGACCCUCUUUGCUGCGCAUGUCUUAUGGGCUUCACUCUGCAUAGUUGAGAAAACAUGUAUGUUGCAACCUUGCUGAUUCUAAUCUCACAUGUGGAAGCCCCACGGAAUCAGCAGAGGUGCUUCAUUAGCAUGUGGCAGGCAGCUUUUCUCCCACUUGAAAAGUAUGUAUCUACUUUCCUUCUUCUUCUUCCCUUUUUUUUUUUUUUUUGGGAGGCUUCGCUCUGCUCUCUUCUCUCUUUACUACAGUCAAGCGUCACAUUUUAAUGCAGCAAUGACCAAGGAUCAUAUUUCUGCUAGCUCUAACACAGUUCAACUAUGUUUUGAUUUGGUAAGAUGGGAUGCAAUUUACUGUGCUAAUUCCGAUAUAGAGAUAUGUCUCCAUGAAACUUUGUUAGUAAUCAAUGAAAUCUGAUCCAUACUAUGAUUCAUAAUCAUGACAAAAAAUUUCAAAGUUUCUGAUUUAAGAGAUAUGUUCUGAUUUAAGAGAGUUUUGAAAAGUAUAAAGAAAUAAUAGACUCGUGCAUUUCUUACCUUUAGCAUUGUAUCCAUCCACCCCCCAAAUAGAUUUAUGCAGUGUCCUCAACGCAUUUCAAAAGAGAAAGGAAUGAAAUGAGGAUUGCAGAUACAAAACCCAUGAGGAAGAUCCACUUCAGCUCAACAUAGUGAUGGAGGAAGAUCCACUUUAGCUGAACAUAGUGACUGAGUGAGAGGAAAAUGAAAUAAAACACUCAAAAGUAUUAAAUCAAAGAAACGAAAGCAAAUAACCAAAACGAAGUAAAAUGAGGUUAUCAAAGUAGUCAAUGGCCAUUAGGCAAUGGCUCUAGCUGCUGUAGACUAAAAGAGAUCAUGGCUGCUUGCUGCUCAUGCUCUAGAUAAGGCUUUAAGCGCUGCCCAUUCACUUUAAGUGUUUUGUUUGUUUUAGGAUCUGUUAUUAAAAUAGUUCUAGAGUUAAAACUUUGCACAACAAUGAAUGAACCAUCCCAACGAGAUUUGAGUUUACCUGGAAAUAAUUUUAAAUGAGAAUUAUACAACCAAACCUUCUAAUUUUGAUGAAAUGAUUUACGAUUGAUCUUCUUGUCAUGAAAUGCUUUAAGCUUGGCCUUGUAGAUAUUAGAAUUCUCGUAAGCUUCAUUUCGUAAUUCUUGUAAUUCCUACAGUUAAAGAACACGUCGCUUCCCUACAUGAUCUAGUGAAAGAUUAAGCUGUUUGAUUGCCCAAUAGGCUCGAUGCUCAAUUUAAACCGGUAAAUGACAUGCUUUGUCAUAAAUCAAGCGAAAAGGAGACAUGCCAAUGGGGUUUUUAAAUGCUGUUCUAUAAGCCCAAAGUGCGUCAAGAAGCUUCUCAACCCAAUCUUUACCAUCCGGACGUAUAAUUCUCUUCAAAAUCUUCUUGAUUUCUCUAUUGUUCAAUUCUACUUGUCCAUUAGCUUGCGGAUGAUAGGGCGUCGUCAUCCUGUGCUGUACUCCAUAUUUUUUUAGUAAAUUUCGAAAGUAAAGAUUGUUAAAGUGAGAUCCUCCAUCACUAAUGAUGGCACGAGGACAACCAAACCAAGAGAAUAUGUUCGGAACAAUAAAUUUUAAAAUAAUUUUGUGGUCAUUUGUUCUAGUAGGUAUGGCUUCUACUCAUUUUAAAACGUAGUCCACAGCCAAAAGAAUAUAUUCAUAGCCAUUAGAAGGAGGAAACGGACCCAUGAAAUCAAUUCCCCAUAAAUCAAAAAUUUCUACCUCUAGAAUCAGUUGGAGUGGCAUUGCAUCUCUCUUGGAGAUGUUUACAGCAGCUUGACAUGUUGUACAUGACCUGCAAAAAUUAUAAACAUCUCGAAAAAUAGUUGGCCAAUAGAAGACACUAUGAAUAACUUUUGCAGCUGUCUUUUUAGAAGCAAAAUGUCCCCCACAUGUAGAAGAGUGACACAUAGUUAAAAUAUUAAAUUGUUCCUCCUCUGGAACACAUCUGCGGAGGAUUUGAUCAACUCCAAGGUGAAAUAAUUUUGGUUCUUCCCAAAAGUAAUACUUCAGCUCACUAAAAAAUUUUCGUUUACUACUUGAAGACCAGUUAGGAGGUAAUUGCCAUGUUACCAAGUAAUUAACUAUGUGAGCAUACCAAGGUGUUUUACAUGCAUUAAUAGUAAGUAAAUGCUCAUCAGGAAAAUCAUCCAAUAUGGUCACAUUAAUAUGUAUGCGUAAUCUAGAUAGGUGAUCAGCCAUAGAAUUUUCACUUCCCUUUUUAUCCUUGAUAUCUAGAUCAAACUCUUGUAACAAUAAAACCCAUCUAAUUAAUCUAGGCUUGGCUUCCUUCUUUGUCAAUAAAAAUUUAAUGGCAGCAUGAUCAGUGUAAAUUGUAACCGUGCUGCCUAAAAGAUAAGAUCUAAAUUUUUCUAAAGCAAAAACAAUAGCCAACAAUUCUUUUUCAGUAGUUGUGUAAUUUAAUCGGGCAUCGGCAAGAGUCUUACUAGCAUAAUAGAUGGCGACUGGUUUCUUGUCAACUUGUUGACCCAAUACAGCUCUAACUGCAAAAUUAGAGGCAUCACACAUUAGCUCAAAGGGAAGGGUCCAAUUAGGACCUUGGAGGAUAGGAGCUUCGAUAAGAGCUUGUUUAAUUUUGAGGAAAGCUGAUUCCCCUGCAGCAUUUAUCACAAAAUUUUGCUCCUUAGCUAGGAGUUGGGUUAGCAGUUUAGCAAGAUCAGCAAAGCCUUCAAUAAAUCGUCAAUAAAAACCUGCAUGCCCUAGAAACGAGCGCAGCUGACGAAUAGAAGUUGGAAGGGGCAGAUUCUGUAUCACCUCAAUCUUUGCCUUAUCAACUUCUAAUCCACGCUCACUGACCAAGUGUCCUAGCACAACACCUUUAGUGACCAUGAAAUGGGAUUUUUCCCAAGUCAAAACCAACUUCUUCUCUACACAAAUCUGCAAAACUUUAGUUAAAUUGAUCAAGCAUUCAUCAAAAGUUUGACCAAAAACAUAAAAAUCAUCCAUAAAUAUCUCUAAACAGUCCCCCACUAAUGUGGAGAACAUGGCACUCAUACAUCGCUGGAAUGUGGCCGGCGCAUUGCACAGCCCAAAAGACAUUCUAGUGAAGGCAUACGUACCAAAGGGGCAGGUAAAUGUUGUCUUCUCUUGGUCAUCUGGACAUAUUGCAACUUGAUUAUACCCUGAGUAUCCAUCCAAAAAACAAAAAUAAUGUUGACCUACAAGACGUUUUAAAAUUUGAUCUAUAAAAGGUAAGGGAAAGUGGUCUUUCUUAGUGACCUGGUUUAAUUUUCUGUAGUUUAUACAAACCCUCUAACCAAUAGUUAGGGGGGUUUGAAUUUCCUCUCCCCUAUCAUUUACACAGACUGUAAUUCCUGAUUUCUUUGGAACGACAUGAAUUGAACUUACCCAUGGACUGUCGGAAAUGGCAUAAAUUAUUCCAGCAUCCAACCACUUCACUAUUUCAGCCUUGACUACCUCUAACAUUUUUGGAUUAAGUCUCCGCUGAACAUCUCUAAUUGGUUGUGCAUUUUUAUCAGUAAAGAUUCUAUGCAUACAUACCUCAGGACCAAUACCUUGAAUGUCUGAAAGAGUCCCUCCAAUAUCUGGCUUGUAUUUCUUGAGUGUGCUCACUAAUUUCUCCUCUUGCUCAGUAGUCAAGAGGGAGGAGAUAAUCACAGGAAGUGUCUCAUGCUGACCGAGAUAUAUAUACUUCAUGUGGGAAGGCAGCGGCUUCAAGAUUGAAGGAAAACUUGUUGGAGCUGUUGAGGCUUCUGCCAUAUCGGUGUCACUGGGUGACAGAAGCAUGUGACUUGUCUCUUUGUUGAAAAGUUCUUCUUCACNNNNNNNNNNNNNNNNNNNNNNNNNNNNNNNNNNNNNNNNNNNNNNNNNNNNNNNNNNNNNNNNNNNNNNNNNNNNNNNNNNNNNNNNNNNNNNNNNNNNNNNNNNNNNNNNNNNNNNNNNNNNNNNNNNNNNNNNNNNNNAAAUCUUCUGUUUGGUCAGGAUACUUUAGUAAUUUUGCAAUUUUUAACUCAACUUUUUCUUGCCCAAAUUUUAAGUCUACUGUUCCUUUACCCCAAUCUGUUGUGGCUUUGGCUGUGGCCAAAAAGGGACGUCCUAAAAUUAUUGGGGCAUGACUAAUAUUUUCUGUUAUCUUCAUAUCAGCAACUAUAAAGUCUACUGGAAAAUAACAACUUUCAAUCUUCACUAUAACAUCUUCUAAAACCCCAUAUGGUUGUCGGACUGAUCCAUCUGCUAGUUGUAACUCUACAAAUAGUGGCUGUAAAUCACCAAGUUUAUACAUGUCAUAUAGAGCUUUAGGCAAUAUAUUCACGCUUGCUCCUGAAUCAAGUAAAGAGUGGGUGAAAAUCAUACCUUGAAUUUCACAUUUGAUGAGAGGAGCUCCUGGAUCUCGUUGCUUUGUUGGAAUCUGAUUUAGUAAAAUCGAACUUAUUGUUUCAGACAAUUGAAUGCGUUUAUGUUUAUUUGUAGGAGUGCACAAUCCUUUUAAAAAUUUAGCAUAAGAAGGAAUGUGUUGGAUUGCAUCAAUCCAAGGAAUACUAAUGGUGACUUGCUUAAAAAUUUCUAAAAUUUUUGUAUCUUGCUCUUUAACCUUAGGCUUAUCAUCCUUUAAAGCUUUAGGAAAAGGGAUUGGAGGGCUGUAUUUUUCCGGAUCAGGUUCUUCCCUCUCCUUUCCUUUAUCCUUACUUUUUGUCGACUUUUGGCCUUUGGUUGUUGCUAGUUCCUCCUGCUCAUUCUCUGAAUUUUCUGCACUCACAAAAUAAGGUUCAGAUAAUAGCUUCCCAUUUCGAAGUUUGGAAAUAGCAUUUAGUGUUUCUUUGUCCUGAUCAUGACAAUCAACUUGAUUGACAUGAUGUUGACCCAAGGCAUUAAUCAAAUUUCGAGGAUUAAUGGAGGGCUGUGUUGGGAAUUGGCCUGCUUCUCUGCUGCUGUUGCCGCUUUCCAGCUGCUUACCAUUUCGCUUCUCGGAUCCAUUUACAUCAGAUUGAUGCCUUCCCUCGAUCUGUAGUUUCAUUCGUUCCAUUUCUUGACGUAGCUUUUGCUGUUCUUGCAGCAUCUGCUUCAGCAGCUCCUGCGUAGACAAAUCAGAUCCACCUGCAUGUGACUGUAAGUGAUGAUUCAAAGGAAAAACAUCUUGAUUCUGAAAAUGUUGCCUUUGAAAUGACAAGUUCUGUGGAUGAGCGAAUGACCCAGCCCGAUCGACAAUUUCCUGAUUUCUUCUCCAACCAUUGGCUUCAUUAGUGCCAAACUGGUUAUUUCUAUAAUUUGCAUUAUAAUUAUUGUUGGGGAAUGUAUUUUGCCCAUGUCCUUGCCAACUAUUACCCGAAAUAAUUUGAUUUGGUUUGAAUUGACCUUGACUACCAUGAUCUGGUCAUAUUUUGGACAAUCAACUUCUACAUGUUCAUAGGUUGAACAUAAAGCACAUGCUGACAUAUCUUGCUCCUGUUUGGGAGGUUGUUGGUCGAAUCCAUUUGCUGCAGAUUUACUCAUCAGUACCUGCACACAUUAGGUCAAUUUAUCUACUUUAUCAAUAAGUAGUCCAGUCUCUAUAUUUUUCACAUCAUGGAUACCUCCUCUUUUGAAUCCUGAAGUUCUACCAUUCUGAUUUAACGCGUAGUGAUGUGCACUAUUUUCUGACAAUGUUUCAAUGAGAUCAAUAGCUUCAUCUUCAUAUUUGUUCAUAAAAGUCCCACCUGAGGAAGCAUCAAUCAUGUGCCUAUCUCUCUCAUUCAAACCUUCAUAAAAAAUCUGCACAAGUUGCCAAUUUUGUAUCCCAUGAUGUGGACACUGGCGGGUGUAAUCCUUAACUCUCUCCCAUGCCUCAUAAAAAGAUUCUUGAGGCCCUUGUACAAAAUCCCUGAUUGCCCUCCUAAUAGAAUUUGUUUUUCCUACUGAAUAAAAUUUCUUAAGGAAUGCUGCUUCCAUAUCAGUCCACGAAUUUAGCUCUUGGAUCAAGGCACGAAACCAGUCCUUAACUUUAUUUUUGAGUGUGAAGGGGAACAAUCUCAUCUUUACUAUCUCAAUGGGAAUGUUAGGAUAAUGCGAAAUCUGACAAACUUGUGAGAAAUCUUCCAAAUGUUUAUAUGGCUCUUCAUGAGCCAUUCCAUGAAAAUGUGGUAACAUUUGGACAAGAUGAUGAUCAACUCUAAAGUUGACAUCAUUUUCUAUAGGGGCAUUGAUUCUAUUCACUGGUUUAUACUGUAAAGGAGCUGAGUGAUCUCUAAGACGCAUUCUUCUGUUUUCCCUUUGGUUUCCUUCCACUUUUGUUUCUCUUUCCAAAGUCACUUCUACUUGUGAUGAUUCUCCCAACUCUUUUGCUGGUGGAAAGACUAUGUCCUUCUGUGAUCUACGUCCUUGCAUUUGCCUACUUCUAGUUUUGCUAAUUCGUUCUACUCUAUGAUAGUCUUAUAUACCUUGAUUAGCAGGACAUGUAUAUAAAAUUCUCAAUGAUCACAAUGAAUAAAAUUUGCAUGAAAAUAUUCAAAAUCAACUAUUUUUAGAAGAUAGAUGUAAUCUUUAGAAAGAAUCUGAAUUAAGAUAUAACAGGAAAUUUUCUUAUAUACUGAUCAUGCACAAGAUUUGGCUAGCUUGGAAUGAUCAUUUCUGUCCUGAUUUCCAAGAUGGCUUCUUUGAUGCUCCAGAAAAAAUUCGAAACUUACUAGACCUUUAAAACAAAAUUCCUAAUAGAAAGAUCUUAGCCACCAAAACUAAAGAAAUGAAUUUUUGCCAAUUAUUCCACAGAUGUGUAGCAAUUAAAAUUGAUCAAAGUUCCGGAAAAAUCAUCUACUGCAGAGAAAACAGGUCAAAAUUUUAAAGUCGAGUUUUGAGAUUUAUACCUGUUUUGAGGCUAAUUUUCUGCUUGAAGUUUUCUUUAUCUCGUCUUCUCACUGUAGCUGUUCCAUGUGACUAUUAAUAUAAGUCGCAACACAAAAUAGAGGUUAGGUAAUUAAUUUCAAAUCUGUUCGUAGAGUAACAUUCGUAAUCAGUCCUGCACAUUAUGUUUCAAGUAUUUGUAAGCACCUGCUAUAACUAUUUUGAGAGAUUCACACCUUUAUCAAGAUAAAGAGAACAAUUAACAUUUCAAAUAUAUUCAGUUUACUAUAUAAAAAUUGUAUGAAAACUUUUAAUGCUCUUAAAAAGAAACUUUUCAUCUUGCGGUUGAUUUUGCUCAAAUAAACCUGCCACAUUCAACAAGGAAAGUUAAAUGACAUGAUUCAGUGGAUAUUGUUCAAGUCAAUUUCCCUUGAUUUCAUAUUAUAUUUUGCUCGAUAUCUCUGCACAAAAUUUGUCAGAGCUCACUUACCUUGUUCCUUAAAAUCUCUCUAAAUAAUUGACUGGUAUCCACGUCACCUUGUCUGCUGCAGAUGAAACUCAAGAAAUAAAAGCACCUUCAUUAAAUCUAGCAUGUUUAAAAUCAUUCAGCACUCAAAGUUCCCUGGCAAUGGCACCAUUUGGUGAGUUCGAUUUUUUUUUCUACAGGUGUCUUUAGACCUUAAUCUCCUCAAUCAAAAAAUAUUAUCAGUUAUGUUUUAAUUGACUUGUGAUAUACUCAUAGAUAGUUGUAAGUUAGGUCGUCUCCACUGGGAAUUUCGAGGCUUACUGUUUAAUACUCAUUCUAAUGAAGGGAGGAGUGUAAAAGGAAAUGAGGUGAGUAUUGGAAAAGGGGAAGAAGAGGGAACUUGGAAUCCAGAUCCGAUUUCUCAUAUUUGGCCGGCGUAAGAACAGUACUCAAUUGUUUAUUGAUUCUACUCCUAAAUAUCGAACUAAAAUCUAAUCUAAGCUAAACAGAACACUUCUCCAUCUCGAAGCUAACCUGGUGUCACCACUUCUUCUUCCUUACUUCCGCCAGGAAGAGGCGUUCACUCAAAGCAGCGGGAGAGACCUCGUUCAGGUGAGAUGAAAAGCACUCCGGCUUGACACACCUGCAUUCGCACGAUGUGGAGCUCGAGAAACCCUAAACCCUCUGGGCUGGCUGAAACGCCGAAGGCUUCCUCAUUCCCAAAAAGCUGUUCGUAACAUCCAUUUUUUCACAUGUAUAAGGCGGCCUUUCCCUCUCCUCUCUCGCUCUCCUCUCGCACUCUCCUCUUGCGUGCGCACGAGAAGCUGCCCGAAGGUU
rnacentral:lncRNA from 1 species